rnacentral:lncRNA from 1 species
CUCCUCCAGCUCUUCUUCUCGAGAGCUCUUCACUCAGCUCUAGAUUGAGGAGCAUCCCUCAAUCGCUCGUCGCGUCGCUCGCUGGCUGCUCCAAUCCGAUCCGAUCGCACCACCAGCAGCACCGGCGAUUCUAGAUCUCCAUUCUCUGCGGGCUUUCAAUCAGUGAGAUCGAUCAUUCCAGCAUAGGAAAGACGGAAAAAAGAUAAGGAGAACAGGGGAUUUUGCGAGCUCGAUCUUCCGGCAAAAUGGGGACCAGAUUGGUGGCUUCCCGCAGCUCGAUCGCCCUGGGAUGGGCUCUAGCACUGGUGACAAUCGCGGCAUUGGGAGAGAUUAAUGUGGUGAGCGCGAAUUACGAUUACUCCUCGCCGCCGCCGCCUUAUGUGUACAAGUCCCCACCUCCGCCAUCCCCAUCGCCGCCUCCUCCGUACGUCUACAAAUCGCCGCCUCCGCCGUCCCCCUCGCCACCACCACCAUACGUCUACAAAUCACCGCCGCCACCAUCUCCAUCUCCACCUCCUCCUUACAUUUAUAAAUCUCCUCCUCCGCCAUCUCCAUCUCCGCCACCUCCCUAUGUCUAUAAGUCGCCGCCGCCGCCAUCUCCGUCUCCUCCACCCCCGUACGUAUACAAAUCUCCACCACCUCCCUAUAUCUACAAGUCGCCCCCACCGCCGUACGUCUACAAAUCGCCGCCGCCGCCAUCUCCAUCUCCUCCACCCCCGUACGUAUACAAAUCUCCACCACCUCCAUCUCCCUCUCCACCACCCCCGUAUGUGUACCAAUCCCCGCCACCGCCAUCUCCCUCGCCACCUCCUCCAUAUGUUUACAGCUCGCCACCUCCGCCAUCUCCAUCCCCACCUCCGCCUUAUGUGUAUAAGUCUCCACCGCCUCCAUCUCCAUCGCCGCCACCUCCUUAUGUGUACAAGUCUCCACCGCCUCCAUCUCCAUCGCCGCCACCUCCUUAUGUAUAUAAAUCCCCACCACCACCUUCACCAUCGCCUCCACCCCCUCCUUCUCCAUUGCCACCUCCUCCUUAUUACUACCAGUCACCACCACCACCCUCACCAUCGCCACCUCCGUACGUCUAUAGCUCACCACCUCCGCCCGUGUAUUACUAUAGCUCUCCUCCUCCUCCAUCUUACUAUUGAUUUGAGAUGAUGAGCUUCUAGUGUUUGGGAUUGGAGUCAAUGAGAAUAAAAAUAAAUAUAAUAACAUCUUAGGGCACUUUAUUAGGUCCUGGGUCAAUUCCCUAUACUUUCUAGGGCUGGAUGGGGUUCGUGCAUCUCAAGGAUCUGGUAACUCCGCAGGAUGUGCUCAACGACCGGAGCUGGAAGAUCAAGGAGCUGGGUCUUCCUAACUACUGGGAUGAUCCCGUGGGCUUCCUGACUGGCUACUUAUCAAUACUGAUUCGCAACAGGUAAGGAAAACUCGAAUAAAUCUUCCUGCGUGUGACAUGAUCGCUGCGCAGUGGAGAAUUCAAGGGCACGCGAGAUGGCGCUGUCGUCCUCCUCUGUGGCCGCACCCCUUACGACAUGUACCAUUGCCUGGACAAGGAGAUGAACAAGAACGAUGGGCCUUACCUCCUCUUCGGCAUGCUCCUGUCCAGGGGGUUUCGCGUCACCUUUUACAGGUGGGAGCGGGCUGGCGAUGGCGAGGGGGUGCGCAAGGACGUGUGUGAUAAGGCAUACAAUUUCAACAUUUCGGCCGAGGUUCGCCACGUGAUCGGGCCGACCAUCCGCGGGAUGCUGAAUACCGUCUACACCGGCCCUUACGUCGAUCUCCAGGUGCUCAAGUCUGGAGUUGACACCGAGCUUAUCCAGCCGGAAGACUACGAUCUGUUUGCGGACUAUCCAAGUCGCCGUGUUAUUCUGGUGUGAAGUGUGUGCUUGUGCAAGGCUUUCAAUUUGUCCUUUUUAAUUCAAGAUUUCAUUCAUUCAUGGUUUCAUAAAUAGUUUCCCGAGUGAACAAGCAUGUCAGUUGUAAAAUUGUGUAGUGUAUACACAAGAGUAUGCGAUAUGGCUUGGUAUAAGGGUUUUCCAUGUUUUUGUUCUUAGAAUCUUUAUCAACGGUGUGAUAACCUUAGGAAAAUCCUGGUUUGCUAGCAUGCAUACUAGAUUACAAUGCUUUCAAGCUCUCUCCACUUUCUUGUAUUAAUUUAUGCAUGCCAGCUAGAGUACCUUUAUGACCUCUAGAUCUCCUUGUUUCUUAUGAUAUUUAAAGCUUUUGAUCUGUGUCCGGUGUGUGGUGCCUCUCUUCAACGUCAGGUCAUUGUGCUCUCAAUUCCAUUGUGAUUCGCUAAGCGGAAAAGGGGACUCUCUGAUAAAUAAAUAUCCUAAACAUAUAAAUAAAUCAGAAGGCGAAAGUAGAUAAAAAAAGUGAUGUUAAUAGUCAGUGAUUUGUUGGUUGGACUGACCAAUAACAAAUAAUGAUCUUGUCAAUUUAUUUCUUUGUGAAUUACAACUUCCAAUCCCAUUUGCAUAUUACUUUGGAUGGUGAUGUUUAUCAAAGUCCAAAAGUUGAGCAAAAGAAAGAAAGUAUAUAUAGACACACACAAUACAUAUAUUAUAUAGAGGAUCCUUUUAACGGAAUAUAGGUGUGGUUUAUAAAUUGUUUUUUCCUUUGGCAUGGCAGAUCUCUUAUUCUUCUUCUUACUCUUUUUAUUAUUAUUGAAAACAAUAAUAACUUUUGAUAUUAUAAAUUUUUUUUAUAAUAUUCACUUCGCAAGGCUAUGAUUUCAUCUUGUUGGAGACUAGAAGUUAUUGUUUUUGCUAGAAAGUUUCAAGAGUUCCAGAUAGCGUGCAUGCAACUCCUGCUGAUGUUGAUGCCUGGGCAGGAAAAAGAAGAAGAAAGAGCAAUCCGUGGUUUUGAUUCUCUUUGCCUUUUACUUUUUUUUUUUCCUUUAAUCAGUUUUUGAUAAUCAGGUUUUUUGCAGGCAUUCAAGGCUUUCCGUUGGCGUUGUUGACACAAUAAUAAAUACCCUCUCUGCGAGUGAAAACGAAGCUCCGGCUGGAAUAGGCGAUAGGGGUGAAUCGAUUUCGAGGAAAAGAAACAGAAAGUCACCGCGUAACUUUGGCAGCUUGAUCGUAGCGAGCAGUACUCGCAGUAGGAUGUUCCACUGCGAGUACUGAAAAUGCCCACUGAUAAGUAGAUUCUACCCAACACUCUUUAAACUCUGACCCGGUAAAUUCACUCGGCUUUGGAUUGAUACGUGGAAUAGGCAAAACUUGCAUGGAUAAAAAAAUCAACGUAGCAAAACACGUAUAUCAAACAAGAGAGUCGGUUCCUCCAUUUUGUUUUCUGUCCUGGAAGAUUUACUGUGGAUUGCCCGCGUAAGCGCAGCGUGAGAACGAGGAGAGACAAAGCGACCCAUUCAAAUAAAGGGCGAGAGAAAGAGUAAAAACAAGGAAUAGAGUCGAGCUUUGCGUUGUGAGCUACAGCAUUGAGUCAGUCUGGCUGGCAUCUCUGGCACUACAAAUCUCCACUCACUCUCAUCCCUCAUCUCUUUGCUCCUCCUCGAGCUCUUCCUCUCGAGAGCUCUUCACUCAGCUCUAGAUUGAGGAGCAUCCCUCAAUCGCUCGUCGCGUCGCUCGCUGGCUGCUCCAAUCCGAUCCGAUCGCACCACCAGCAGCACCGGCGAUUCUAGAUCUCAAUUCUCUGCGAGGCUUUCAAUCAGUGAGAUCGAUCAUUCCAGCAUAGAAAGACGGAAAAAGGAUAAGGAGAACAGGGGGAUUUUGCGAGCUCGAUCUUCCGGCAAAAUGGGGACCAGAUUGGUGGCUUCCCGCAGCUCGAUCGCCCUGGGAUGGGCUCUAGCGCUGGUGACAAUCGCGGCAUUGGGAGAGAUUAAUGUGGUGAGCGCGAAUUACGAUUACUCUUCGCCGCCGCCGCCUUAUGUGUACAAGUCGCCACCUCCGCCAUCCCCGUCGCCGCCGCCUCCGUACAUCUACAAAUCGCCGCCUCCGCCGUCUUCUUCGCCGCCAC